CUUCCUUGUCUAUAUUUCUGCCUCGCCCACCUCUGCCUUUGUUACAUUUUGUCUUGAAGUUUUAGUGUCGCAGAUUGUGUGAGAAUUCGUCUGAAUUCAGUAUAAACCAGUGAGAUAAUGGCUAGUGCAACAAAUGUCUGUGGCAUAUGCGAUCUACGUCAUAUUACCAAACCAUCCGUAGCCUGGUGUCAAGAGUAUGAUGAAGGAUUUUGUUCUGGUUGUGAAGAACAUCACAGCUUAGCAAAAGCAACCAGACUUCAUAAAACGAUAACAAUGGAUGAAUACCAGAAGUUGCCUCCGGAUGUCCUGCAGAUCCCUCAGUCUUGUUCCAAGCAUGAUGAAAAGUUUCUUUUAUACUGCAAAGAUCAUGAAAUGCCAUGUUGUGGUAAGUGUGCCAUCGAAGUUCAUAAACGAUGCCAUGAAGUUGUCAAUCUCGACGACAUAAUCAAGAAUAUUAAGACCUCUACCUCUUUCCAGGAAAUAGAGGAAACACUUGCUGAAGUUGUAGAUAAUAUUAAAGAAAUACAAAAAUUGUACAGGAGAAACAUUACUACACUUUCAGAAAACAGAAAGCAGACUGAAAAGCAGAUUCAGGAAAUUCGUUUAAAGAUAGAUACUCAAUUCAAUCAAAUACAGAAAAAGUUAGUAGAUGAAAUACAAGAAGUAGAAGAAACAGAAAGAAAAAAAAGUUUCUCAGCUGGUUAAAACAUUAGUAGAAAAGGAUAAUAAUUUAACAAAGUACCAGAAUUCAAUUGCAAAUAUCAAGCACCAUGCAUCCGACCUCCAGACAUUUAUGUCAAUAAAACAAAUAGAGCAGGAUUAAGCUAACGAAGAAGAGUUCACUCAAUCAUGCCUUGACGGCGACAAAUUGAAUACAAGAGUCAUCACUUCAAAAAUUGAUGAAAAUGUUGAAGCCAUAAUGAAAAAUGUACAAAAAUUUGGGGAAAUAGCAGUAGUAUUAAAGCCCACUAAAGCUGCAUUACGAGAAAGAAAGAAAAAACAAGCUCAAAUAAUUAUUCAAAAAAAAAAAAAAACUAUUGAAAAUAUUACAGCUCGGUUGCAGGAUACGA